rnacentral:rRNA from 1 species
CCUACGGGAGGCAGCAGUGGGGAAUAUUGCACAAUGGGCGAAAGCCUGAUGCAGCGACGCCGCGUGAGGGAUGACGGCCUUCGGGUUGUAAACCUCUUUCAGCAGGGAAGAAGCGAAAGUGACGGUACCUGCAGAAGAAGCGCCGGCUAACUACGUGCCAGCAGCCGCGGUAAUACGUAGGGCGCAAGCGUUGUCCGGAAUUAUUGGGCGUAAAGAGCUCGUAGGCGGCUUGUCGCGUCGGUUGUGAAAAGCCCGGGGCUUAACCCGGUCGU